rnacentral:lncRNA from 1 species
CAUAAUAGAAAUUGAUUUCGAACUGAUGAAUUCUAUCUACCUAUUUUCUAUAAAUGGUUAUUUAUUUUAUUAUCUGAUUUAAUCUAGUUGGAGUGUUCAUUUCUUACUAGGCUAUCUAGCUUAUUUUUCUAUACAUUACUAUUUUUAUAGAUCUUUAGAACUAAGUUGAUACAGGAAUAUGUACAGGAGAGUGAUUAGAAGCAGACUUCAAUACUUUUAUUUCAGAUUAGAAACUUUAUUAAAUUUAGUAUA